CAGGCUGCCUGAGCUAGUAGUGGCAACCAGCUUGCGUCCGUUUCCAUGUUGUGGGAGAUUUGUUCUUUCGCUCUUUGUGGUAAAUCUUGCUACUGCUCACUCUUUGAGUCCACACUGCUUUUAUGAGCUGUAACACUCACCGGGAAGGUCUGCAGCUUCAAUCCUGAAGCCAGCGAGGCCACCAGCCCACCGGGAGGAACGAACAACUCCAGACGCACCGCCUUAAGAGCUGUAACACUCACCGCGAAGGUCUGCAGCUUCACUCCUGAGCCAGCGAGACCACGAACCCACCAGAAGAAAGAAACUCCGAACACAUCCGAACACCAGAAGGAACAAACUCCAGACGCGCCAACUGUAACACUCACCGCGAGGAUCCGUGGCUUCAUUCUUGAAGUCAGUGAGACCAAGAACCCACCAAUUCCGGACACACUAAAAUAGCUGCUGCCCCACUCCUGUGCCAAAAUCUGCUCCAAGGGAUCCUAUCCUAGUCAGAAGGCUGUACUCUGAAUGCUGAUAUUAGCUACAACACCAAGGCUUCCCACUAUACAAACUGGAUCCUCAAAGUCAUCCACACCAAAUGAACUCUCUAUUCUUUCUCCCAGUAGCCUGAGAACUGGGUUUACCAGCCUUGGCCCUUCCUUUCCUUCUAGCCUCAAAACAGGAUGGGAACAGAGUCUUUGGCUGUGAGAAUGGGCUCAAUAACAAAAUAAAGAUGACAGAAGAGUCAGUGACUUCAAUGACAGAGCGAUAGAAAUUACCAAUAUAAACGGAGAGAAAAGAGAUUUUUUAAAAAUGAACAAAUCCCCAAGGACCUGUGAGACAAUAACUGUGUUAGGUUUUCUAAACUUACAAGUGUUUUUAUUUAUAUAUGGUAAGCAACUAUGCAUUAUUUGUGUCAGAAUUAUUUUUUGUAUAUAUUUAAGGUAUACAACAUGAUGUCUCAACAUACUUAUAUGUAGUGAAAUGGUUACUACAGUCACCACACUUAUUGUCUCACAGGUUAUUGUCUUCAGAAGGAGAGUAAAAAGAAUGCUGGGUAGAAGAAAUACCUGAAGAAAUAAUGGCCCAACCUCAAAUUUGGUGAAAGACAUAAACUUACAGAUUCAAGAAACUGAGUGUUCCCCAAACAGAAUAAACUUUAAAGAAUCCACACUCAAACACAUCAUAAUCAAACUUCUGAAAACUAACAACAAAGAAAAACUUAAAAUCAGCAAGAGAGAAACCACACAUUAUCAACUGAUGAAAAGUGACUCAAGUGACAGCAGAUUUAUAAUCAGAAACUUGAAGGACAGAAGGAAGAGGCAAAACAUUUUGAAAGCCCUAAAAGGAAAGAACUGUCAACCCAGAAUUCGACAUCCAGUAAAAAUAUCCGUCAAGAAUGAAUAUGAAGGAAAGCUAAGAAUGAAUAUAUCUUCUAUUUCUUUGCUAAAUUUUUCUACUUUUUCAUUUGAUGUAAGAGUGUUUAUAAGUGCUUAUGGAGCAUUUUUAUGAUAGUUGGUUUACAAUCCUUGUCUGAGAGUAGCUAUGUGAGAUGACGUAUAUAGUAAAUGGUGACUGUAGUAACCAUUUCACUACAUAUAAGUAUGUCAAAACAUGUUGUACACCUUAAAUAUACACAAAAAAUAGCUCUGACACAAAAAAUGCAUAGUUGUUAUUACCAUGUAUAAAUAAAAAUACUUGUAAGUUUAGAAAAUAAAAUCAUUGUCUGAUAAUUAUCUAAAUAAUAAAGUCCA
rnacentral:lncRNA from 10 species